AGAGUUUGAUCCUGGCUCAGGACGAACGCUGGCGGCGUGCUUAACACAUGCAAGUCGAGCGGAGACUUUACUGUAUUUAUAUGGUAAUUUCUUAGCGGCGGACGGGUGAGUAACACGUGGGUAACCUGCCUCGAAGUGAGGAAUAGCCUUCCGAAAGGGAGAUUAAUACCUCAUAAUAUUAAUUUUUCGCAUGAAAGAUUAAUUAAAGGAUUUAUUCGCUUCGAGAUGGACCCGCGGCGCAUUAGUUAGUUGGUGGGGUAAUGGCUCACCAAGACAAUGAUGCGUAGCCGACCUGAGAGGGUGAUCGGCCACAUUGGAACUGAGAUACGGUCCAAACUCCUACGGGAGGCAGCAGUGGGGAAUAUUGCACAAUGGGCGAAAGCCUGAUGCAGCAACGCCGCGUGAGUGAUGAAGGCUUUCGAGUCGUAAAGCUCUUUGAUCAGGGACGAUAAUGACGGUACCUGAAGAACAAGCCACGGCUAACUACGUGCCAGCAGCCGCGGUAAUACGUAGGUGGCGAGCGUUGUCCGGAAUUAUUGGGCGUAAAGGAUGCGUAGGUGGAUGUUUAAGUGGGAUGUGAAAUCCCUGGGCUCAACCCAGGAAUUGCAUUCCAAACUGGAUAUCUUGAGUAUAGUAGAGGAAAGCAGAAUUCCUAGUGUAGAGGUGAAAUUCGUAGAUAUUAGGAGGAAUACCAGUGGCGAAGGCGGCUUUCUGGACUAUAACUGACACUGAGGCAUGAAAGCGUGGGUAGCAAACAGGAUUAGAUACCCUGGUAGUCCACGCCGUAAACGAUGGGUACUAGGUGUAGGAGGUAUCGACCCCUUCUGUGCCGUCGUUAACACAAUAAGUACCCCGCCUGGGGAGUACGGUCGCAAGACUAGAACUCAAAGGAAUUGACGGGGGCCCGCACAAGCAGCGGAGCAUGUGGUUUAAUUCGAAGCAACGCGAAGAACCUUACCUAGACUUGACAUCUCCUGAAUUACCCGUAACUGGGGAAGCUCUUCGGAGCAGGAAGACAGGUGGUGCAUGGUUGUCGUCAGCUCGUGUCGUGAGAUGUUGGGUUAAGUCCCGUAACGAGCGCAACCCUUAUUUUUAGUUGCUACCAUUAAGUUGAGCACUCUAAAGAGACUGCCCGGGUUAACCGGGAGGAAGGUGGGGAUGACGUCAAAUCAUCAUGCCCCUUAUGUCUAGGGCAACACACGUGCUACAAUGGUGAGAACAAAGAGACGCAAAAUCGCGAGGUCAAGCAAAUCUCAUAAAACUCAUCCCAGUUCGGAUUGCAGGCUGAAACUCGCCUGCAUGAAGUCGGAGUUGCUAGUAAUCGCGAAUCAGAAUGUCGCGGUGAAUACGUUCCCGGGCCUUGUACUCACCGCCCGUCA
rnacentral:rRNA from 1 species